CUUGACCGAGCCCAACCACAGCGGACGGUCCUCCGCACGGUCCUGGCCGUAGGUCGCCAGCAGCGCCUGCGCCUC
rfam:Streptomyces sp. NRRL F-6602 F6602contig62.1, whole genome shotgun sequence.